rnacentral:sRNA from 1 species
UUUUUUUUUGUAUCCGUGCACUUUAAAAACUCAAGCCUCGUGAAAAUUGAUUUCUUGCGUAAUUAUAGGAAUCCUCAUUAACUAGUUUCAGGUUUUAACCCGGAGUUCCGGGUACUCAUCACGCCCCGGGCUAUCACGCUCACCCCUUCUCCCCCCCUCUUUUUUUUUUUUUUUUUGCGAUUGCUUGUUCAGGGAGAUACAGUUCAGCAGACAGCAUUGUCAAAGAGAUGCGUUGGGUGACCCAGGAUGUCGCUCCUGAAAUAUUGCUUAGCAUGCCGGCAGUGGACAUGAUAUCUGAAAUGUUAUCUGUGUGCCUUUGAUACACGGUUCUGGUCUCCACAGAGCCAAUGUGCCGCGUUAAUUGUUUGAAUAGGAGAACAUGUAACUAUUGGUGGAGGGAUGAGGUUUACGACUCGGCUGCCUGAGGUAGAUUUCUACCAUCAAUGGUGGAUUGGACUUUACCACCAACAUGACUGCGUCAGUUGGUGACACGGACACGAUUUGAAAUCAGAAGUCACCGCGCCAUUGAUUUUCUUGGCUCGCUGCCUCACGGCGCAAUUUUUAACCCCUUGUGGGAUGGCUGAAUCUUCUAUGAGGAGGAGCUAACUAGAUUAUUAUUAUACUCCAUAGGAGAUCAUGUAUGGGCGGAGGGCAACACCCCUGGACACCUAACCUCAACAUAUGACAACUGCUGAAGCAGGCCUCAACUCCUUAUAAAUGAGCUGGGCUGCCUCUCAGACACCCGCACGAAGGAUACACAUUUCCAGACUUUCGUAAAAAGGAAGAGCAGCGAGACAAACCAAAUUCCACUAUACUCCACC